rnacentral:lncRNA from 1 species
UAAGACUCCAUAUUUCAGGAAAAAAGAGAGGAAAGUUAAAAGUAAAUGUUUCUUUGGGCUGGUAGAGAUGGAGAAAGGAGAGCAUCAGAGGGGGGCCCUUCAGUCAGUGAGUCAGAGAGUGAGGUGAGGUGACUGAGUGAGUGAGUGAGUGAGUGAGUGAGUGAGUGAGUGAGUGAGUGAGUGAGGUAAGUGAGUGAGUGAGUGAGGUGAGUGAGUGAGGUGAGUGAGUGAGGUAAGUGAGUGAGUGAGUGAGUGAGUGAGUGAGUGAGUGAGUGAGUAAGUGAGUGAGUGAGUGGUGAGUGAGUGAGUGAGUGAGUGAGUGAGUGAGUGAGUGAGUGAGUGAGUGAGUGAGGUGAGUGAGUGAGGUAAGUGAGUGAGUGAGUGAGUGAGUGAGUGAGUGAGUGAGUGAGUGAGUGGUGAGUGAGUGAGUGAGUGAGGUAAGUGAGUGAGGUAAGUGAGUGAGUUGAGGUGAGUUGAGGUGAGGUGAGGUGAGGUGAGGUGAGGUGAGGUGAGGUGAGGUGAGUGAGUGAGUGAGUGAGUGAGUGAGUGAGUGAGUGAGUGAGUGAGUGAGUGAGUGCGUGCGUGCGUGAGUGAGUGAGUGAGUGAGGUAAGUGAGUGAGUGAGUGAGUGAGUGAGUGAGUGAGUGAGUGAGUGAGUGAGUGAGGUGAGGUGAGGUGAGGUGAGGUGAGGUGAGGUGAGGUGAGGUGAGGUGAGGUGAGUGAGGUUCACUGGGAAAACAUAUCAUUCAUUCAAUUUUACUCUCCCUCUCACCCUCCCUUCAGUGUUCCAUUGUUCCUGUCAUUCUGAAUACCACUAUUCCUCUGGAUGGAUUCCACAGACCAACUGAGAAUCCCAGCUGACAAAAUAUUACAAUAGAAAACUGGGUGAGGAACCGCCUUAGAACCAUGUCUGGGUGAGGAACCGCCUUAGAACCAUGUCUGGGUGAGGAACCGCCUUAGAACCAUGUCUGGGCCGGUGUUGCCAGUCGGAGUUCGUUCACCAGGGGAGCCAUCUCCUGCCUCUCCUCCCCAUCUGAUAACAGAGUCGAAGGAGCACAGCAAGAGGAGCAUGGCA